rnacentral:rRNA from 1 species
UCUGGGACAAGCCCUGGAAACGGGGUCUAAUACCGGAUGACACUCUGUCCCGCAUGGGACGGGGUUGAAAGCUCCGGCGGUGAAGGAUGAGCCCGCGGCCUAUCAGCUUGUUGGUGGGGUGAUGGCCUACCAAGGCGACGACGGGUAGCCGGCCUGAGAGGGCGACCGGCCACACUGGGACUGAGACACGGCCCAGACUCCUACGGGAGGCAGCAGUGGGGAAUAUUGCACAAUGGGCGAAAGCCUGAUGCAGCGACGCCGCGUGAGGGAUGACGGCCUUCGGGUUGUAAACCUCUUUCAGCAGGGAAGAAGCGAAAGUGACGGUACCUGCAGAAGAAGCGCCGGCUAACUACGUGCCAGCAGCCGCGGUAAUACGUAGGGCGCAAGCGUUGUCCGGAAUUAUUGGGCGUAAAGAGCUCGUAGGCGGCUUGUUGCGUCGGUUGUGAAAGCCCGGGGCUUAACCCCGGGUCUGCAGUCGAUACGGGCAGGCUAGAGUGUGGUAGGGGAGAUCGGAAUUCCUGGUGUAGCGGUGAAAUGCGCAGAUAUCAGGAGGAACACCGGUGGCGAAGGCGGAUCUCUGGGCCAUUACUGACGCUGAGGAGCGAAAGCGUGGGGAGCGAACAGGAUUAGAUACCCUGGUAGUCCACGCCGUAAACGUUGGGAACUAGGUGUUGGCGACAUUCCACGUCGUCGGUGCCGCAGCUAACGCAUUAAGUUCC